AUUUCUAACCCCUUGUCUAAACCACCUGUUGCUUCCGGCUGUUUGGGCUGUAUAGUUAGCUGUAUAGCCUGGCCGGAAGGUUAACAUAAAAUAUUGUAUUUAGAGUCUUCUGAAUUUUAAAAUAAAAGUUAAAACUUUCAACAACGGAUCUCUUGGUUCUCGCAUCGAUGAAGAACGCAGCGAAAUGCGAUAAGUAGUGUGAAUUGCAGAAUUCAGUGAAUCAUCGAAUCUUUGAACGCACAUUGCGCCUUCCGGUAUUCCGGAAGGCAUGCCUGUCCGAGCGUCAUCAAAAACCACUCAAGUAGUUUUGCUUGGUUAUGAAAGAAGAGUUUGCUUGCGAAUUCCCUUUCGAAAUUCAAUGGCGGAGGGUCUCAUGAUUCCGGCGUAGUAAUAACUUAUUCGCUUGGUCAUUGUGACAAUCCUGCCUCAAACCCCCAAUUCUAGUGUUUGACCUCGGAUCAGGUAGGGAUACCCGCUGAACUUAAGCAUAUCAAUAAGCGGAGGAAAAGAAACCAACAGGGAUUGCCUUAGUAACUGCGAGUGAAGCGGCAAAAAGCUCAAAUUUGAAAUCU
rnacentral:rRNA from 1 species